GAGAAAUGCUAUGGAGAACAUCUUCCUGCUGGAUGCUGUCUUCAGCGUGGGGAGUUCUGAGCUUGGCUUUGAACCUGGACCUCCUGCCAGCUGCAGGCAUGUGACUAUCAUGCUAGGGCAUCAUACGCCCUCCUGAUCCUCCUUGGAAAGAGCCAAGCGUGUCCCACGUCAGCCUGCAAACGAACUGCACAGCUGAAUGCCAAACUGGCGUCUCAACAACAACAACAACGACCAUGCAAUUUCUUCUCCUCGUUUUUAAGGUCUGAUUCAGCCUUACAGUUUUGAUGCCUCAAACAAAUGUCAGCACCUUUACCAAUGAACCCACUGACAAGUGGAUUAAAUAAGCAAGUGGGCUGGAGAAGACAUCUGCUUCCAGUCUUCUGAUGUACCUCAAGGACCUAAAGUCUGGAGGUCACUGAUGAAUGUGUUGAGCAAGACUGGACCCAGGACUGACUUCUCUGAAAUAAGCUCUAAUCAGGGCACAGACUCCCCACCAGAAGCUCACUAACAGCAAGGAUCAACGAGAAGAGUUCUUCUGGAAGAAAUGACUUGCAAAUCAGAGAAGGAAAAAAGAGGGGAAAAGAAAGAAAAGGGACGAAAAUUA